AGCGAACGCUGGCGGCAGGCCUAACACAUGCAAGUCGAACGAUCCUUCGGGAUAGUGGCGGACGGGUGAGUAACACGUGGGAACGUGCCCUUUGGUUCGGAAUAACUCAGGGAAACUUGAGCUAAUACCGGAUGUGCCCUUCGGGGGAAAGAUUUAUCGCCAUUGGAGCGGCCCGCGUUGGAUUAGCUAGUUGGUGGGGUAAAGGCCCACCAAGGCUACGAUCCAUAGCUGGUCUGAGAGGAUGAUCAGCCACACUGGGACUGAGACACGGCUCAGACUCCUACGGGAGGCAGCAGUGGGGAAUCUUGCGCAAUGGGCGAAAGCCUGACGCAGCCAUGCCGCGUGAAGGAUGAAGUUCUUAGGAUUGUAAAAUUCUUUCACCGGGGACGAUAAUGACGGUACCCGGAGAAGAAGCCCCGGCUAACUUCGUGCCAGCCGCCGCGGUAAUAC
rnacentral:rRNA from 1 species